rnacentral:rRNA from 1 species
GACGAACGCUGGCGGCGUGCUUAACACAUGCAAGUCGAACGAAGUGGCGAACGGGUGAGUAACGCGUAAUCAACCUGCCCUUCAGAGGGGGACAACAGUUGGAAACGACUGCUCAUACCGCAUACUGAAGGAGGGGAUUGCGUCUGAUUAGCUAGUUGGAGGGGUAACGGCCCACCAAGGCGAUGAUUAGUAGCCGGUCUGAGCGGGUUGACGGGCACAUUGGGACUGAGACACUGCCCAGACUCCUACGGGAGUGAGCGGUGGGGAAUCUUCCGCAAUGGACGAAAGUCUGACGGAGCAACGCCGCGUGAGUGGUGACGGCCUUCGGGUUGUAAAGCUCUUUUAAUCGGGACGCGGUACCGGAAUAGAAAGCCACGGCUAACUACGUGCCAGCAGCCGCGGUAAUUC